rnacentral:sRNA from 1 species
GUUCAGUGAAUAAGGCUGUUGAUAUUUACUCCUUAAACUAUAGUUACAAUAGCAAAACACAAAAAAAAACAAAUAAAGAACAAUACUGGUGAAUAUUAAUUUUUUUCGCUAACUUUAUGUAAGGUAGGGCGAAUUAUUUACUCUCUUAAAAGAGCUCUCUUGCAACAUGUUAUAUGCCCCUUCGUUUACUGCAGAAUCAAACUACAACAAAAACGCAGCGAAUUUGUUAAUCUCCUUGGUUACCUUAAGCAUUAUUAAACGCGAAACCAUUACAGUUGUUGUUGUUUUUUUUUUUUGGGUUAUUGACCUUAGAUUUUCUAAGCUCAUAACACAUUAAGAAUUAAAACUUUGGGCAUAAGGAUGGAAGAACAUAAGACAGCCAUUGAAAAACAAAAAGUAAUAAUAGCACUAUCACAACACUAUCCGAGUACAGGCAAAUCACCCGACUUUGACAAUGUAAUAAUAUUGGACGAAAAGCGAAAAGAAAAAAAGUGAUUGAUGAUAGGAAGCAGCAAAAGCAUUUGAAGAACGAUGAACCAAAAAGAGGACACAGACAACAUAAGCGCCAGUUGUGGAAUUGCAAUAUUGUAAAAGAACUGUGAUAUUAGCUUUUAAGUCGUGUUUCUAAUUUAGUGUGAAACCAAUAGAUCCCCUGAUGAAGUCACGCAAAAAGGGACGAAACGUUGGGAUUAAAAAGCAAUAAUUCUUAAUGUUUUAUUAGCUUGGAAAAUCUUAGGCCUUUGGACGGCUGCCAGACAAAUACAGACAAUCGCCAAAUGCUAAUUUUCAUUCUUUCUUCUCUCUCUGCUCAAACGCAGGGCCGGCAUCAACUAUUGUUUAUGCCUACUUAGAAUCAACUCUGAUACCUCAAAAUUUAAAUCAACGGACUUAUUGGGCAGAUCGUCGUAUCAUGUACCGACGGGUUCCAUCUCAUACAAAAAAAAUUAAACGGAGCAGAUUAUGCGCUUGGAACUGGUUUGGAACUGAGCCUCAGACACUCUGUCCCUAUUUUGUAGCCUUCGUUGUGUGUCGUUGAAUGACUUUUGUUCGUAUUAGGCCUUUCACUAGAAUGCUUCAAUUUUCGCAAUCAAUUAAAAGCCAAUUUUCGAGCGAAUGAAAUUAGCACUAGACUUUAUCCAGAACGAUAUCUAUAGGGCCGAAGCGACGUGUCCCUGGUAUAUCAAUAAUAGCUCCACUGUGACCUACACAGAAAAAAUAUCGACCUAAAUUUUACCGAUUAAACAUGGAAUUGACUUAUAAACAAACUUUUAAUUGCUUCAAUCGUAUUUUGACAUUCAAACACGUUCUUUUUGUAGGCAUACGUUAAACAUAUUUUUAAUUUCUGCAUUCUGUAAUGCGAAGAAGUGCGAAUGAGCCAAAUAUAUGUCUAGUUUCUAUCAUAUACAAACACAUAGUGGCGUGGGUAGACAAAAAAAAAAUCAAGAAAAAUAGAAAGUGUGGUUUUUACUUAUAUCCUUAUAAAUAAUUUGUUAAAUAAUAAUUGUUAAGUUAAAACAAUAUAUUUUAAAACGUGUUAUGAUGAAAUAUUAUAAAACAGAAAAAUUAGGAUGUGAACAAAUGAGAAAGAUACAUUCCAAACGAAAUAAAUUUGAGGACAUGGCAGAAGGUAGACGUGUUAUUUAUAAAUAUUAUUUUGUUUAAACUUUGUUCAAUAAAAAAAAUUGUACAUUCAAUAAAAAAAUUUGCUAAAA